AACGAACGCUGGCGGCAUGCCUAACACAUGCAGGUCGAACGAGACCUUCGGGUCUAGUGGCGCACGGGUGCGUAACGCGUGGGAACCUGCCCUUAGGUUCGGAAUAACUCCCCGAAAGGGGUGCUAAUACCGGAUAAUGUCUUCGGACCAAAGAUUUAUCGCCUUUGGAUGGGCCCGCGUUGGAUUAGCUAGUUGGUAGGGUAAAAGCCUACCAAGGCGACGAUCCAUAGCUGGUCUGAGAGGAUGAUCAGCCACACUGGGACUGAGACACGGCCCAGACGCCUACGGGAGGCAGCAGAGGGAAUAUUGGACAAGGGGCGAAAGCCUGAUCCAGCAAUGCGGCGUGAGUGAUGAAGGCCUUAGGGUUGUAAAGCUCUUUUACCCGGGAUGAUAAUGACAGUACCGGGAGAAUAAGCUCCGGCUAACUCCGUG
rnacentral:rRNA from 1 species